CUUGCUUCAGCAAAAUAUACUACAAUUGGAACAAUGUAGAGAAGACUGGCAUUGUCCCUACACAAAGAUGACACACAAAUUUGGGAAGCAUUCCAUAUUUUU
rnacentral:snRNA from 1 species